rnacentral:rRNA from 1 species
UGGGGAAUAUUGCACAAUGGAGGGAACUCUGAUGCAGCGACGCCGCGUGAGUGAUGAAGGACUUCGUUUCGUAAAACUCUGUUCUAUGGGAAGAAAAGGACUGUACCAUAGGAGAAAGCUCCGUCUAAAUACGUGCCAGCAGCCGCGGUAAUACGUAUGGAGCGAGCGUUGUCCGGAAUUAUUGGGCGUAAAGGGUGCGCAGGCGGCUUUACAAGUUGGAUGUGAAAUAUUGUGGCUCAACCACAAACGUGCAUCCAAAACUGCAAAGCUUGAGUUAAGGAGAGGUAAGUGGAAUUCCUGGUGUAGCGGUGGAAUGCGUAGAUAUCAGGAGGAAUACCGGUGGCGAAGGCGACUUACUGGACUUAAACUGACGCUCAGGCACGAAAGCGUGGGGAGCAAACAGG